rnacentral:rRNA from 2 species
GAGUUUGAUCAUGGCUCAGGACGAACGCUGGCGGCGUGCCUAAUACAUGCAAGUCGAACGAACUCUGGUAUUGAUUGGUGCUUGCAUCAUGAUUUACAUUUGAGUGAGUGGCGAACUGGUGAGUAACACGUGGGAAACCUGCCCAGAAGCGGGGGAUAACACCUGGAAACAGAUGCUAAUACCGCAUAACAACUUGGACCGCAUGGUCCGAGCUUGAAAGAUGGCUUCGGCUAUCACUUUUGGAUGGUCCCGCGGCGUAUUAGCUAGAUGGUGGGGUAAUGGCUCACCAUGGCAAUGAUACGUAGCCGACCUGAGAGGGUAAUCGGCCACAUUGGGACUGAGACACGGCCCAAACUCCUACGGGAGGCAGCAGUAGGGAAUCUUCCACAAUGGACGAAAGUCUGAUGGAGCAACGCCGCGUGAGUGAAGAAGGGUUUCGGCUCGUAAAACUCUGUUGUUAAAGAAGAACAUAUCUGAGAGUAACUGUUCAGGUAUUGACGGUAUUUAACCAGAAAGCCACGGCUAACUACGUGCCAGCAGCCGCGGUAAUACGUAGGUGGCAAGCGUUGUCCGGAUUUAUUGGGCGUAAAGCGAGCGCAGGCGGUUUUUUAAGUCUGAUGUGAAAGCCUUCGGCUCAACCGAAGAAGUGCAUCGGAAACUGGGAAACUUGAGUGCAGAAGAGGACAGUGGAACUCCAUGUGUAGCGGUGAAAUGCGUAGAUAUAUGGAAGAUCACCAGUGGCGAAGGCGGCUGUCUGGUCUGUAACUGACGCUGAGGCUCGAAAGUAUGGGUAGCAAACAGGAUUAGAUACCCUGGUCGUCCAUACCGUAAACGAUGAAUGCUAAGUGUUGGAGGGUUUCCGCCCUUCAGUGCUGCAGCUAACGCAUUAAGCAUUCCGCCUGGGGAGUACGGCCGCAAGGCUGAAACUCAAAGGAAUUGACGGGGGCCCGCACAAGCGGUGGAGCAUGUGGUUUAAUUCGAAGCUACGCGAAGAACCUUACCAGGUCUUGACAUACUAUGCAAAUCUAAGAGAUUAGACGUUCCCUUCGGGGACAUGGAUACAGGUGGUGCAUGGUUGUCGUCAGCUCGUGUCGUGAGAUGUUGGGUUAAGUCCCGCAACGAGCGCAACCCUUAUUAUCAGUUGCCAGCAUUAAGUUGGGCACUCUGGUGAGACUGCCGGUGACAAACCGGAGGAAGGUGGGGAUGACGUCAAAUCAUCAUGCCCCUUAUGACCUGGGCUACACACGUGCUACAAUGGAUGGUACAACGAGUUGCGAACUCGCGAGAGUAAGCUAAUCUCUUAAAGCCAUUCUCAGUUCGGAUUGUAGGCUGCAACUCGCCUACAUGAAGUCGGAAUCGCUAGUAAUCGCGGAUCAGCAUGCCGCGGUGAAUACGUUCCCGGGCCUUGUACACACCGCCCGUCACACCAUGAGAGUUUGUAACACCCAAAGUCGGUGGGGUAACCUUUUAGGAACCAGCCGCCUAAGGUGGGACAGAUGAUUAGGGUGAAGUCGUAACAAGGUAACC